AUCGAACGCUGGCGGCAGGCUUAACACAUGCAAGUCGAACGAGUGGCGGACGGGUGAGUAAUGCUUAGGCAUCUAGCUUAUGGAGGGGGACAACUACGGGAAACUGUUGCUAAUUCCUCCUACCGUAGGAGGAGCUCAUGUCGGAUGAGGUAGUUGGUGAGGUAAAGGCUCACCAAGCCGACGAGCUCUAGCUGGUCUGAGCGGAUGACCAGCCACACUGGGACUGAGACACGGCCCAGACUCCUACGGGAGGCAGCAGUGGGGAAUAUUGCGCAAUGGGGGCAACCUGACGCAGCCAUGCCGCGUGAAUGAAGAAGGCCUUCGGGUUGUAAAGUUCUUUCGGUAGCGAGGCGUUAACUACAGAAGAAGCACCGGCUAACUCCGUGCCAGCAGCCGCGGUAAUAC
rnacentral:rRNA from 1 species